UAUACGCAUGACGUCAUCUAGCGACUUUCAGCGACUUUUCGAGCAGGCUUUAGCUACUUUCCAUUGAAAAUAGUUGGCAACACUGCGUCUAAUGUAACAUUAAAUUAAAUUCAACGUAGUUUAACAUAGUUUAACGUAGUUUCGACCGAUGUGCUUCUAUGUUCUUUUUCCAUUUUGGAACAGGACUCCAUUGGUUAACCGUGAAGCACUUGAGUCUGACGUGAUGACGUGAUCGCCAAAAAGAACGACCAAGAAAAUAUUACCUUCAUUUUGACACGGACAAACUCUAAGCAACCAAAAGUGGAUGCUAAGCAUUGAAAGUCAGAUUGUCUGUGAGGGAGUACAAGCCAACUUUACAUCUGGACUCUCAGCUCUAUUUUCAUCAUAUUACAACUUUAACCUCCAAUACCAAGAAGAAGCCGCAUGCACCCUUGAGUUUGUGCAAAGGCGCUUCAUCAACAUCAACCCAGAAUGGGGAUCCAAAGCCAAGCAGGGAAAAGUGGUAUCCAAAACAAGAAGAAACCCAAAACAGUCAAACCACAUUAAAAGCUUUUAAAAAUA